CAACAGGGAUUGCCCCAGUAACGGCGAGUGAAGCGGCAACAGCUCAAAUUUGAAAUCUGGCCCCUAGGGUCCGAGUUGUAAUUUGUAGAGGAUGCUUUUGGUGCGGUGCCUUCCGAGUUCCCUGGAACGGGACGCCAUAGAGGGUGAGAGCCCCGUCUGGUUGGAUACCAAGCCUCUGUAAAGCUCCUUCGACGAGUCGAGUAGUUUGGGAAUGCUGCUCAAAAUGGGAGGUAUAUGUCUUCUAAAGCUAAAUAUUGGCCAGAGACCGAUAGCGCACAAGUAGAGUGAUCGAAAGAUGAAAAGCACUUUGAAAAGAGGGUUAAACAGUACGUGAAAUUGUUGAAAGGGAAGCGCUCAUGACCAGACUUGGGCUUGGCGAAUCAUCCAGCGUUCUCGCUGGUGCACUUUGCCUUGUCCCAGGCCAGCAUCAGUUUGUCGCGGGGGAUAAAGGCUUUGGGAACGUGGCUGCUCCGGCAGUGUUAUAGCCCAUUGCAUAAUACCCUGUGGUGGACUGAG
rnacentral:rRNA from 1 species